rnacentral:rRNA from 1 species
UACGGAGGGUGCAAGCGUUAAUCGGAAUUACUGGGCGUAAAGCGUGCGCAGGCGGUGAUGUAAGACAGUUGUGAAAUCCCCGGGCUCAACCUGGGAACUGCAUCUGUGACUGCAUCGCUGGAGUACGGUAGAGGGGGAUGGAAUUCCGCGUGUAGCAGUGAAAUGCGUAGAUAUGCGGAGGAACACCGAUGGCGAAGGCAAUCCCCUGGACCUGUACUGACGCUCAUGCACGAAAGCGUGGGGAGCAAACAGG